rnacentral:lncRNA from 1 species
UGAGCUGCUAUUUAUCUUAUUCCUAGCAUUACUAAGUUCUGGAGAUUUAUUUUGAAAACCCAAAAACCUACAUGAUGAGCUCUUGUAUGACAAAGAAUAAAUUCCUACCAAAGCCAUAUAUAAUACACAUUUAGAGUUUGGAAAACAUUUGCACAUUUAUGCUGCUUGCUUUGCAUUGAGUUCAGUCAAUCUUUGUCGUAUACCUUAUGAGAGUCUUGUCAUGCUUUCUAAAUCUAGAUCACGUACACACUCCAGUUCAUAUAUGCAUUAUUCCUACACUGGAAGUAAACACCACCAAACACCCUAUAGGAUAACCCUUGUCUUUAAGGUUCUAAAUUCUUGUUAUUACCUCUCUAAUCAUUUAUUGUAUUCAAAGGAUACAUGUGGCUAUGCAAAAAUAUAAAAGAAGAAAAGGGAGUAAAAGAUAGACAAGUGUCCCAAUAAUUAAAACAAUGGGUACUAGAUGCCUGCCUCCCUGAGUGAAAAAAAAGAGAAUAAUAAAGAUAGCCCAUGUCUUUCCUGAAAAGUUUCAAUAGAGAGUUAUUCCCAAAGAAAAAUAAAUUAGCCACAAAUACACCUAUCUACCAUAUUCCAUACACAUGCACACCUUGGUUUGAUUGUAUGCCUCGAUUCUCUAUGGAUCCAUUAGUUGACUUUACAAUACAUACAUUGCAAGC